UACGGGGGGAGCAAGCGUUGUUCGGAUUUACUGGGCGUAAAGGGCGCGUAGGCGGUCGUGACAAGUCACUUGUGAAAUCUCCGGGCUUAACUCGGAAAGGUCAAGUGAUACUGUCGUGCUAGAGUGCGGAAGGGGCUACUGGAAUUCUCGGUGUAGCGGUGAAAUGCGUAGAUAUCGAGGGGAACACCUGCGGCGAAGGCGGGUAGCUGGGCCGACACUGACGCUGAUGCGCGAAAGCCAGGGGAGCAAACGGG
rnacentral:rRNA from 1 species